AUUGAACGCUGGCGGCAGGCCUAACACAUGCAAGUCGAACGAGUGGCGGACGGGUGAGUAAUGUCUGGGAAACUGCCUGAUGGCGGGGGAUAACUACUGGAAACGGUAGCUAAUACCGCAUACCAUCAGAUGUGCCCAGAUGGGAUUAGCUUGUUGGUUGGGUCACAGCUCACCAAGGAGACGUUCCCUAGCUGGUCUGAGAGGAUGACCAGCCACAAUUGCACUGUGACCCGGUACAGACUCCGACGGGAGGCAUCAGUGGGGAAUAUUGCACAAUGGGCGCAAGCCUGAUGCAGCCAUGCCGCGUGUAUGAAGAAGGCCUUCGGGUUGUAAAGUACUUUCAGCGGGGAGGCGUUACCCGCAGAAGAAGCACCGGCUAACUCCGUGCCAGCAGCCGCGGUAAUAC
rnacentral:rRNA from 1 species